GUUUAUCUUCCUCGCUCUCCUCUUUCUCCUUCUGUUUAUCUUUCUCACUCUCCUCUUUCUCCUUCUGUUUAUCUUUCUCACUCUCCUCUUUGUCCUUCUUGCUCUCCUCUUUCUCAACCCCCCACACGCUUUCUUUCUUGCCCCCCUUCUUCCCCAGGUCUCUCUUCUUCCCAUACAGCCUCUCCUGGAUCCUGUCGUUCAGUCGGCCCAACUCUUCCACCCCCAGAUCCAGCCCAACAGUCUGCAGCAGGCUCUGGAUCUGUCCGUACUUCUGCUCAUCCUCAGGCCUCAUUUUCCUCUUCUCCUCCACCUGUGGAGACAUGGACUUAAGCCUCCCUUUCCCCUUCUCCACAACAGGUGGAGACAUGGACUUAAGCCUCCCUUUCCUCUUCUCCUCAACAGGUGGAGACAUGGACUUAAGCCUCUCUUUCCUCUUCUCCUCAACAGGUGGAGACUUGGACUUAAGCCUCCCUUUCCUCUUCUCCUCAACAGGUGGAGACUUGGACUUAAGCCUCCCUUUCCUCUUCUCCUCAACAGGUGGAGACUUGGACUUAAGCCUCCCUUUCCUCUUCUCCUCAACAGGUGGAGACUUGGACUUAUGCCUUCCUUUCCCCUUCGGCUCAACAGGUGGAGACUUGGACUUAAGCCUCCCUUUCCUCUUCUCCUCAACAGGUGGAGACUUGGACUUAAGCCUCCCUUUCCUCUUCUCCUCAACAGGUGGAGACUUGGACUUAUGCCUUCCUUUCCCCUUCGGCUCAACAGGUGGAGACUUGGACUUAAGCCUCCCUUUCCUCGUCUCAUCCACCUGUGUAGACUUGGGCUUUUUGUUUUUUGGGCUAUCCAUAGCCUGGAUGAAGCCUAAGCUAAGGCUAUGUUGCCCAAUCUCUCCUCCUCCAUUUUGUAAGAGACUGCGGUGCUGUGGCAGAACGUUACCUGCUUGGGCCACUUGACGCAACAGAUCCCCAAACGGAUUGGGCUGAACCCCGAGUAGUGUGGGCUGACCCCAGAGUAUAUUGAACGAACCUUGUGGGAACUCAUCAAAUCGGGAGCGCCUUUUGCGAGAGGGCACCUUCCUCUCAUUCUUAGAGUUGGUCUCGGGCUGGCCAUGAAGUGGAGGCGGCUGACCUUGUGGCAGCUCCUCUCCCAUAGAGGGUAAAUCCUUGAAAUUGUUGACAAUCUUUGAGAGCCUGUCGAUGUCCACCCCUUUGUUGAGGACAUCGAGGAAGUGCUGGAAGCCCUUGGCUGCUU
ensembl:lncRNA